UUAACUUAUUUGUUUGGGACUCGGACAAUAUAAAAAUCAAGAGUUUAGGGUCCUCUGGCAAGCGCGGACCAGCCUAGGCCAGUGGUCAUAAGACGGGCCUGCCAAAGCAACAGAGGUAAUAUAAACAAAGGGUGGGAGAUCUACCCCGGAGGGCAAUUUCUCUGUAAUGAUCCUUCCGCAGGUUCACCUACGGAAA
rnacentral:misc_RNA from 1 species